CAAUAAAAAAUACAUUUUUCACAGGUAACCAUAGGACAAAUCAUUGACUGCAUCAGUAAUCAUGUGCCAGAGUUGCAUAAAUUUUUUGAAACAUCAUUUUCCUAAUUGACUAAAAGAGGAUGUGUAUGAAUAGAUGGUAGGCCAUCUCU